UUCGGUGGCUAUAGCGAGGAGGCAACACCCGUUCUCAUCCCGAACACGGAAGUUAAGUUCUUUUGCGCCGAUGGUACUGCUCGGGAAUCUGAGUGGGAGAGUAGGGCGUUGCCGAAA
rnacentral:rRNA from 1 species